CGUGGAGCGACGGUAGCCGGGCCGGGACCUUCUAAAGCGGAACAGAGAAGCCUAAUGAGCGCGUAGUGAUGACGCAACACGCAGCCUAGGCUUUUCUCUUCCUCAGCGACUUGCCUUCAGACUUGGGUCUUGGACUGGAACCACACCACCGGCUUUCCUGGACUUCCAGCUUGCAGAGGGACUUCUCAGCCUCCAAAAUUGAGCCCCUUGCAAAUGAACGUCUAAAGAACUCUACAAUGAUUUAUGAAGAAACUCAAAGACACACAAUUUAUAGGAAGAAAAUUUCUGAGAAUAAGAACUUCUUGGAAAAAUAAUUGCAGCAUCAAAGAAUGCUCUGGAUGAAACAGGUCCUGGACACAAAUUCCAGUUUGCAGCCUACAUUCCCUCAGUCUUACGUCUCAUUUUGGACACUUAAAGCAGAAGUUUAACUGGAAGAAAUCUGAGCUGCCCCGUAGAAAAUCCUUUCUCCUUUGUUUAAGCCAAAAGUAAAAGGCCAUUAAUUAGACAAUGGAAAAGAGAUCAUAACAGUAGAUGGUUACAUUGGAAUGGUUACUACAAGAGACAAAUACUCUUCUUGGCCUGAGUUCACUAAGUUCAUCUUGUUACAAGUGAACGAGAGAGACUCCAUUCCUGCACCUAUGGAGCUUAUGCGCAUCUAGUUGGGAAAUCAGAUAAGGGAGCAGCAAUUAGAAAACAGCAUGGCAUAAAAAGAAAUGGAAUUGAGUUAUUUGUAGUGAGGUUGGUGGACCUAGAGUCUGUCAUACAGAGUGAAGU